GCCAUGUACAUUAAUCAUGUAGUUUUCCUAGAACCAAUCCCCCUCUCUUCACCUUCCUCAGCUCCAAAAAUUCAGCCGAUGCAUUUUGAGCCAUGUAUGUUCUUGUGCAGUAAAAAAGGAAGGAGAGGUUUUAUAAUUAUCAAUCCCACUGCAUCAAACAGAGAGACUAACUGGAACAAAAAACAGGAAAUGUGAACAUUUGCCGGUUGAAGUCUGCCACUGAAGCAGACAUGAAUAUUACUAGAGUUUAACAGACUAAAAGUUUAAUUUUGUUUUGCUUUUUCAUCCAAAGUAAAAUUAAGCCUAUAUAUGGCUUGGGAGGCAGUGGGUGAAGAGAACAUUACCUAGCACUUAAUUAGUGUCAGCAAUGUAUGAACUAUAUUGACUAAAUGCAAAUUGGAAUAAAAUAUUAAAGUGCCGACCAGGCACAGUGUCAGUGGUCAAACCAUCAUUAUACCCCACCAGCCUAAUUACUAAUAAAUUCUUCCUCAGCAGCUGACACAAGGUCACAGCGCUCAAUGUGUGGGUUGCAUAUCCAGCACUGAAGUUUUUGAAGUGAAACUAUCAGCAAGCUGUCAAAUUUAAUAGGAAUCUUUAGCUAUU